UUGAGUGACAUGAUGUUCAUGCGGGCGCCGGUAUUGGCUUUGGCGAUCAGUGGUUUGUUAUUGAUUAUCAUGGUCACAGCAGGAUCAGUCACUUUGCCUGGGGUGCGCAGGUUUAGGGAAAGUUCGGUAGGCUCAGUGUCUGUGCUAUCAGUCGUUCCCGUGGGAAGAUUCGUCCUGCUCAUGGAUGAAUGAAA